rfam:Photobacterium damselae subsp. piscicida DI21 genomic scaffold scaffold00001, whole genome shotgun sequence.
AGUGUAAUUGAUCUCCAUUACUAACCAGUUAGCGCAAGGCUCUAACGAGCCAUUCCCCUAGGCCCGAAACAGGAAUAGUAUCGGGCUAUUUUUU